UACGUAGGAGGCGAGCGUUGUCCGGAUUUACUGGGCGUAAAGGGCGCGCAGGCGGCCCACCAAGUACGAUGUGAAAUCUCCCUGCUCAACGGGGAGGGUGCACUGUAAACUGGUGAGCUAGAGGACGGUAGAGGGGGGUGGAAUUGCUGGUGUAGCGGUGAAAUGCGCAGAUAUCAGGAAGAACACCAAUGGCGAAGGCGCACAUCUGGCCCGAUACUGACGCUGAGGCGCGAAAGCUAGGGGAGCAAACGGG
rnacentral:rRNA from 1 species